rnacentral:rRNA from 1 species
GAUGAACGCUGGCGGCGUGCCUAAUACAUGCAAGUCGAGCGAAGCGGGGACGGGUGAGUAACACGUGGAUAACCUCCUAUAAGACUGGGAUAACUUCGGGAAACCGGAGCUAAACCGGCUACUUAUAGAUGGAUCCGCGCUGCAUUAGCUAGUUGGUAAGGUAACGGCUUACCAAGGCAACGAUGCAUAGCCGACCUGAUAGGGAGGUCGGCCACGCUGGAAGUGAGACACGGGCCAGACUCGUGCGGGAGGCAGCAGUAGGGAAUCUUCCGCAAUGGGCGAAAGCCUGACGGAGCAACGCCGCGUGAGGUAUGAAGGUUUUCGAAUCGUAAGGCUCUGUCCUAUGGGAAGCGGUACCAUAGGAGGAAGCCCCUGCUAACUACGUGCCAGCAGCCGCGGUAAUAC